rnacentral:rRNA from 1 species
UACGGAAGGCAGCAGUGGGGAAUAUUGCACAAUGGGCGCAAGCCUGAUGCAGCCAUGCCGCGUGUAUGAAGAAGGCCUUCGGGUUGUAAAGUACUUUCAGUCGUGAGGAAGGUGUUAAGGUUAAUAACCUUAGCAAUUGACGUUAGCGACAGAAGAAGCACCGGCUAACUCCGUGCCAGCAGCCGCGGUAAUACGGAGGGUGCGAGCGUUAAUCGGAAUUACUGGGCGUAAAGGGCACGCAGGCGGUUAAUUAAGUUGGAUGUGAAAUCCCCGGGCUUAACCUGGGAAUGGCAUUCAAGACUGGUUAGCUAGAGUCUUGUAGAGGGGGUAGAAUUCCAUGUGUAGCGGUGAAAUGCGUAGAGAUGUGGAGGAAUACCGGUGGCGAAGGCGGCCCCUGGGACAAAGACUGACGCUCAUGUGCGAAAGCGUGGGGAGCGAAACAGGGAUUAGA